rnacentral:rRNA from 1 species
GCCGUUGUUUCUUGGAUCUUACUUUACUUGGAUAACUGUGGUAAUUCUAGAGCUAAUACAUGCAAUGAAGCUUCGACCUUAGGGAAGGAGCGCAUUUAUUAGACCAAAACCAAUCAGGCUCUGGCCUGUAUUUUGGUGACCCUGAAUAACUCUGCUGAUCACAUGGUCCUAGCACCGGUGACGUAUCUUUCAAGUGUCUGCCCUAUCAACUUUCGAUGGUAGUUUAUGUGCCUACCAUGGUUGUAACGGGUAACGGAGAAUAAGGGUUCGACUCCGGAGAGGGAGCCUGAGAAAUGGCUACCACAUCCAAGGAAGGCAGCAGGCGCGCAAAUUACCCACUCUCAGAUCGAGGAGGUAGUGACGAAAAAUAACGAGACGGUUCUCUUUGAGGCCCGUCAUUGGAAUGGGUACAAUUUAAACCCUUUAACGAGGAUCUAUUGGAGGGCAAGUCUGGUGCCAGCAGCCGCGGUAAUUCCAGCUCCAAUAGCAUAUACCAAUUCUGUUGCUGUUAAAAAGCUCGUAGUUGGAUCUUUUCCGAGGGUCCAGUCUGUCUCAAGGACAUGCACUGGAUUCCGAGGAUAUAGACGCUGGUCUUCUCAUGGUCCUCUUUAUUGAGUGCCUUGGGUGGCUAGCCAAUUUACUUUGAAAAAAUUAGAGUGCUCAAAACAGGGAUACGGCCCGAAUAGUGGUGCAUGGAAUAAUGGAAUAGGAUCUCGGUUCUAUUUUGUUGGUUUUAGGAGCGCGAGAUAAUGAUUAAGAGGGACAGACGGGGGCAUUCGUAUUGCGGCGUUAGAGGUGAAAUUCUUGGAUCGCCGCAAGACGAAC